CAUCAAAGGAGACCCCAAGAGGAAGCAAUGCUGAAAAUGUUGAUACCAUAAACCAAGAAUUUUCAGGCUGUCUUUGAAGUAGUUUAAAAUGAUUGCACAGAAUAACAAGUGGGAAAAAAUAUAGCAGCUCCUCUGUCUCUUCGAGUGGAACGGCACAAGCAGAAUCAUUCAGCAGAGAGUUUAUAUUAUUAUCUCAGCAUGGUGAAUAAUUGCAAGCAUCAAAAUCAACACUACUAAAAGAAGUGACUUCAGAAGACUUCAAGAACAUUCCAGAGGGGAAAAAAGUCUGGAAAAGUGUCCUGGCUGAAAUAUCUCUCAGGACUCUUCCAAGCACCUUGCAUGUGUCUGUAUUCCAACUCCAGCUUAAGUUAAUUUCCUCAACUCCAUAGACACCUAAUAAUUCUGCUUAGGAAGUAAAAACCUUUCAGCAGGAACCACUGCUGCUCUUUUACCACAGAAGAGAUAUUUGGAUAUACACUUCUAUAUGAACAAUACUUCUUCCUCAUCCAGGUACUGACAACAGCUCUUCUCAUCCUUAUGUCCAUUUUCUCUAAAAUAUGAACAUUUUGGUCAUCCUUUUAUUAUUUUGGGUUACUAAAUCUUGUAAACUUUGAUGUUGCUAUUAAAUGUGUAUUGUCCCAGCACGAUGAGGCCUGCCACUGCUGCAGUUAUCCAAACCCAGUGACAAACAUGUAUCCUGUCAGACUGAACAGAGACCAACUUCAACUUAUUUUUCAUGACCACACACCACAUUCCUGACCCCUGCUGAUACUUCCCUGAUGUAGGAGGAACGCUGCAGGACACUCCCUGACACAGCAGCUGAGAAUAAGCCAAUUGCACCAAUCAGGUGUGAAGCACAAAGACCUUUAUGAGAAGAGGCAGGCUGGGAGAACCAGGCAGAUUUAAGAUUUCAGCAUCUAUUUCACAGGUUCUCUGCCUGUUGCUAUUUUAAUCCGUUACUACUUAGAAGCUGAUUUUGUUGGUGGGAUUUUUUUUUAAUGGUGUUUUCUUCUUUUCUCACUUAUUUCACUUAGAAGAAGCUGUGAAAAUCAUGUAUUUCUGUAACAGUACACACAGGCACAACACAGGACUAAUUUGAUGGCAGAAAUUUCAGGCAACAAUAUCCAUGGAAUCAAUGCCUCAUUGAAUAUUCUGUAGUUUCUCAAAAUAGAAAUCUAUCAUGGAGAGACCUGAUGCAAUCUUAAACACAGUACAGAAAAUGCCAUAUUGCUGUAAUUCAGUAAGCCAUGUUAUCUAUAGCAUAAUUAUAAUUUCAGUAUUAAUGAGGAGUUUUCAUAAUGUCAUGAGGAAAUAGUUACUUUCAUUUCAUCUGGUUCCGUUUGUUAAAUGGCAUAAAGCAACACCAGGUAUAUUUAAUAAAAUUAUUAUACUGGAAUAGAUUG